rfam:Flavobacterium branchiophilum FL-15, complete genome.
CAACCUCUGGCGAAACCCGUGAAUGUUG